ensembl:lncRNA
UUCAGAAUAUGUUACUUUUAUUGAGUAACGUAACGGAAUAUGUUACAAAAUACAUUUUGGGACAUGUAAUCUGUAAUGGAAUACAUUUUAAAAGUAACCUUCCCAACACUGAAUAUAGGCAUGAGGAUACAAAAUUCAAAAAGAAUGCUGGAUAUGCCAUAAAUUGGCCAAAACACUGGUGGUGGUGUGGCUUGUGCAUGAGCGGAACAAAGAUUUCAUUGUACACUGGGCAAGGAUUCAUUUCAAAGUGACGAAACUACAUGAGUGAUGUCGCAAACAACCAAGCCUGUACUUGCACCUGGAAUCUUUCAUCCAGUUCCAAGUACUAGUGCGGUCUCAAAGUUUGUUACUUUGAUACGGAACCAGCAUGCGUUUACUGCUGCUAAACUUAAUAUAUACAAACAAAUUAAAAGUAAUAUUCAAUAUUAUUUGAUAACUAUAUGAAAAUAAUGAGCGUUUACAUAAGAAAUUCAGCUAUUACUGAUGUUACAGUGUGCAAGCAACAUACAGAAAUCCCAGCUGGCGAAUUUAAACCUAGGACGUGUAUCAAACAUAUUGCAACAUGAAAUUGAAAGAUUUUUUAAAUUGUAACCAUUUAUAAAUGUAUACCAUCAGGAUCAGCUGAGUGCUUGAAUGCCAGUCAACCAAUUAUUCAUUAUGCAAUGAUGUUAUACAACCAGCAGUAUUGGCAUGUAACGUCACGGAUGAUUCUAGUCGUGUAUGUAUAGCAGUUUUUUCAGACUGAUAGAAAAUGUAAUUUCUAUAUCAACUUUUGAGAGAAAGAUCACAAAGUGCUUCACAACAAAAUACCAGAGCAUUAAAAAAAGAAAAGAAAAAAAUUUAAACACAGGAAUAAUCUCCUAUAGAUUGUCUUUUAUCUCACCUGUCAUGAUCACGUUAGAGUUUUCUUAGUUGCUUUUUGGUUUAAGUAUGCUUCCUGUCUGAGUUCUGUUCUUUUUUUCCCUUUGAAUUUUCAGGUAUUUCAUGGUCCUGGGUUCUCUAACCCAAUGUUUUUCAUUUGUGGACUUUCUAUAUCUACUUAUUAUUCCUUCACGUCUUAGUUUGCUUUUUACAUGUUAUUCUUCAGUCUUUGUUUCAUGACUUCUGUUGGAUGAGUUUUAUUACAACUUUUGUGGAGCAAUUGGAGUUGAAUUGGUUUUGCGAUCUGCGAUUACUUUUUAGUUUUCGAUGAGCAGGAAUUAAAGGCUUGCCAUUUUUCUACACUUGUGUCACGUGUUCUGAAUAUUGGCUAUACAGCUUCAUGUAUGAGACAAUGGUGGAAGGCUGCCUCCCUGAGCCUGGUUCUGCUGGCGGCUUCCUCUUUUUUAAUAGGGAGUUUUUCCUUCCCACUGUUGCCAAGUGCUUGAAUAAGAAUUGUGUGAUUGUAGGAUCUUUACCUUACAAUGAGAACCUAUAUAAAUACUAGCUAAACUGAAAAAAAAAAAAGAAGAAAACAGUUUUCAUUAAAUACCAAUGCUAGAAGUUCUAUAAUCUUGUAUUUGUGUAUCUUUCCAAUUAUAUCUCUUGUGGUGACUGCCUAUAAAAUGUCUAACAUUGUGUAAUUUUUACACAUUUGAAAAUGAGUGUGAUUGUGUUACAAAACUCACUUCAGUUGCAGAGUUAAUGACCUCAACAUCCUCCACUCCAGAGGAUGUUGAGGUCCUCUGAUAAUAUAUUAGAUAAUAUAAAAGCAUAAGAGAAAUCUUGCAUAAUCUACCAUAUCAGCAUGUUCAAACAUCUCAUGACGUGUAAGAAAGAGCAGAAAUGUUAGUGUGAAUUUUUAUGUCAUGAAUAGGACACAUGUGGUCACAUGUGUAAGUGUGGCACAAAGAAAUCAAGGCAUAUAAAGAAGCAGAUUCUUACCCUUGCCCAUACUAACACUGGGAGAUGUGAGGAACGUGGUGACAUGAGUACCCUAUAUCAGUGCACAACAAACCUAUUUAAAUAAGUGGUAUGUGGGCAUGCUAACACCAACACUUAAAUACUGCAGAAUGCAUGCCCGAGAUAUAGAUUUUACAUAACGUUCAUAUGGCUUUAAAUUCAGAAUUAACAGUUAAAGGUACUUUAAAUGUCAAUUCUCUGUUCAUUCUAACAUUAUAACACAAAUCUACAUCCCAGUAAACCAUGUGUUUGUUACUACAGGUCCAACAUGACUGUGAAUGAAACCACUGACAGUAAACCCAGUGCCCUGCCACCACAAAGCAGGUAAAAAAAAAUAAAAUAAUAAAAAAUCAUAAAAAAAAAUCUACCAUACAAUGCUACAGGCCAUACUGUACCUGAGCUUUUUAACAUAGACUCUGGCACAGUGAAAAAUUGUCCUGUAGUACGACUAGAAUUCAUAAGAAUUUAGCGAUUCUGAUUCCAUUAUC